rnacentral:rRNA from 1 species
AGAACGAACGCUGGCGGCAUGCCUAAUACAUGCAAGUCGAACGAACACUUCGGUGUUAGUGGCGCACGGGUGCGUAACGCGUGGGAAUCUGCCCUUGGGUUCGGAAUAACAGUUGGAAACGACUGCUAAUACCGGAUGAUAUCGAAAGAUCAAAGAUUUAUCGCCCAGGGAUGAGCCCGCGUAGGAUUAGCUAGUUGGUGAGGUAAAGGCUCACCAAGGCGACGAUCCUUAGCUGGUCUGAGAGGAUGAUCAGCCACACUGGGACUGAGACACGGCCCAGACUCCUACGGGAGGCAGCAGUAGGGAAUAUUGGACAAUGGGCGCAAGCCUGAUCCAGCAAUGCCGCGUGAGUGAUGAAGGCCUUAGGGUUGUAAAGCUCUUUACCGAGAUGAUAAUGACAGUAUCGGAAGAAUAAGCCCCGGCUAACUCCGUGCCAGCAGCCGC